UUCGUUCAAAUUCCUGCGACCACCACUACCACUGGCAUUCACUGCGGCGGAAUAUUCAGUUCGGUUCUUGACAAUGAGAUGCCUGGAUCCAUCACUGGUGAAGUUGUGCCUUUUCAAAUCACAACGAUAAUUAAUGAUGAAAUUGGGCUUGGGCCAGCUGGGUCCGUUGCUGGUUAUAGCCUACAAUAUUCUCAAGCUCCUUGUUAAUGUAUUUGAGGCCUUAUUUCUAUUGAGUAUCAUGCUCAUUGUGGAGCAACUGAAAUAGUUAUGUUUGUAUUGUGUUUCUUUUUCCAUCGACAUUGUAUGACAAAAAUGACCAUAAAUAGAUAUAAGCUAACUGUU